UACGAAGGGGGCGAGCGUUAUUCGGAAUCACUGGGCGUAAAGCGUGCGUAGGCUGCUUGGAAAGUUGGAAGUGAAAGCCCGGGGCUCGAACCCUGGAAUUGCUUUCAAAACUACCAGGCUAGGAUUUGGGAGAGGAUAGCGGAAUUGUCAGUGUAGCAGUGAAAUGCGUAGAUAUUGACAGGAACACCAGUGGCGCAAGCGGCUAUCUGGACCAACAUCGACGCUGAGGCACGAAAGCGUGGGGAUCAAACAGG
rnacentral:rRNA from 1 species